GGGCUGUGUGACCGCUGUCACGCUUUUUUGCUUAAAUAAAUGCCAGCAGCGGAUGACGUGGGGCUGGUGCUCCCCAGCCCUGGGGCUGAUUGGUCCCAGCUCAGGUUUGAACGCCAAGGUGUCCUGGCAACGAGAAGCAGAGGAGCCAGACUUUCCCAUCCCCGCUCCUCUCCGGGAGCGCGGCGGGCGCUGGGAAAAGGCGGGCACCGCAGAGCAAGGAGCGGCGUGCGGGUCACCGGCCCUUCCUCCAGUGUCGCACGGCUCAAGUCGCUGUUGAAGUGGGGAACAGCAAUGAAGCUGUAAUGACCCAGCCGUACUCUCCCCUGGGGCCACGGGACGGGAACGCAGGAGCUCCGAUCUGAUUUUUUUUCUACUUUUUGUUGCAAAAGGGCUCUUGAUAUAGGGGGGGGUCUGCUGGAAGAGAAAGUCAACAUGCCAUAUGGUACCAGCCACUUUUCUCUCCCAGUGCCAGGGCUCCCCUGGAAAUGCUGGGAUUUUGCCUUUAUUUGAGAGGGAAGCUCGUCUUCUGGGGGAAACAUGUCCUUCUGUGUGCUGAGCCAGGCAAGGGAUGCGCUGGGUAAUUUCUCAGUGGCACAUGAAAUGUCAUGGCUGCGUCGGGGAAGAAUGGUGACUGACAAAUUUCCUGAGGCUCGCGGGGUCUGGAGGCGCAUUCCCAAGGUCUCAAGGAGUCCACAGCAAGAGGAGAAGGAGAAGAAAGCACCAUGGGGACCGUGCAGCCCUUGUCCCCCAGAAGGAAGGGGACUGAAGCUCCUGCCUCUGGCAGUGCCCAGUGGGAGACAGUGAAAUAACAGAUGACCUUCAGGCCGGCAAGAAGGUUUGAUAGCCCUCAUGAUGCUGACCGGAUCCAGCUCCUGUGGAGACCAGUGGAUGCGGGGCACCUCUGAAAAUCUGACUUCUCACUCUUUCCUUUUGGAGAUCAGCCUGAAAAAGAAACUUUCUUCUACUCUCCCCUUCCAACAACAGCGCAGAGGGUUUUGGCUUUCAGCACAAAGCCAAAACCCAACAGCUCUGCAGAUUCCAGUGCCUCAGAUACCUAUUUUCCCCUCAUCCCCCACACUGACCAUGCAGUGCUGUGCUUGAGCUGGCUUGGGUGGCCAUCUCAGCGGAGAUGUGCUCUGUUAAGAGGAGGUCACCAAGAGAUGACCUGCUGCUAGCACACGGUAUGUCUGUAUUCAUGAGGGGGUUUUUUUGUGGAAAUGUAUUCUGUGUCUUAAGAAACCUCAGAGCAAGGAGUCUUCUUGUUGCAUUUCUGAGCACACCAGCAAGACAGCAUCAUCUUCGAAACUCGGAUAGGGUUACUAUCUCAUCUGCAAUAGGAAGGCUGCUAGCAAGACCGAAGGACCUGCUUGGUUAUAAUUCAACUGCUCAAGAUGCUGAGAUAGCUCCGCUCUCCUCCCGAAAGCAGCUUGGCUGCUCAGUGUACAACAAGCAUGCGACUUUUCAAAACUUUAAGACGCCUCUUUAGAAAACCCAGCAAGGAACCAGCGAACACAAACCCAGAAAUCAGUUUGGUCGCUAUUCCUGGGUCAGUCCCUGAAGACGGCCUUGGCACUGCAGGAGCUUCUGAGCUUUGGAAAUAAACAUGGAGGUGGGCUGAGACACCACAGGGGCUGGAGGAGGUGGUCCAUGUGUAGCCAGUCUGGAAGAGCUCACCAGUAUGAAACUAUCCCCUGGACACUUUCAUCCAUCUCGGUUGAUGAAAGGCAUGGAGAACUCUUUGUAGGGUGGGGGAUCAAGGGAUGACUCAGAUGUGCGGGUGCAGAGUUGGAAGUUUAUUUAUUUUUUGCCGUAUUAGCUUUACCUUUUCAAGUGAAAAGGGAUUUCCAAUCUUUUUACAAGCUGCUCUAGGUAGAAAGAUUUAAAACUCAAAAUCUUUUUAUUAAAAUGAAGACAACCAUCCUCACUACUGGCAAAUGAACCUCUGCUCAGUUUGUGUCUGAUUAGGAUCUCAGAAGAGUAUCCAAGCUAAUAAAUAAGAUAUGUAUCUCCUGA